rnacentral:rRNA from 1 species
UACGGAGGGAGCUAGCGUUGUUCGGAAUUACUGGGCGUAAAGCGCGCGUAGGCGGCUUUGUAAGUUAGAGGUGAAAGCCCGGGGCUCAACCCCGGAAUUGCCUUUAAGACUGCAUCGCUUGAAUCCGGGAGAGGUGAGUGGAAUUCCGAGUGUAGAGGUGAAAUUCGUAGAUAUUGGGAAGAACACCGGUGGCGAAGGCGGCCAUCUGGACCGCAACUGACGCUGAGGCGCGAAAGCGUGGGGGAGCGAACAGG